rnacentral:rRNA from 1 species
AACUUUCAGCAGUGGAUGCCUAGGUUCGCACAUCGAUGAAGAACGCUGCUAAAUGCGUAUCUUAAUGCGAAUUGCAGGAUUCAGUGAGUCAUCAAAAUUCUAAACGCAUAUUGCACUUCCGAAUUAGUCCUGGAAGUAUGCCUGUAUCAGUGUCC